GGGCCACAUCCAGGUAUGUGUUCCGGGGCUGGGUGGGCAGGCACACGUGUGUCUCAGCGCCAUGCACACGUGUGUGAGCUCAGCCGGCACACGCGUACACGCGUACACGCGCACCUU
rnacentral:precursor_RNA from 8 species